GAGAGAGAAAGAGGGCAGGGUCACCGUCGCUAGCUGUAGCUAGGGACCAGGUUAUCAAAAACAUUCUAUGUCAUAUGGUGCAAGUAGAGAUGAGAGGUGAUGAGGUGCAUUUAUAGAGAGAUGGAGAGGGUGGCAGAAGCUAAAGCAGUGUCACGAGGGAGAGGGUGGGGGAAGCUAAAGCACCGUCACGAGGGAUGGCUGUGAGGGGCCUCCCUAGCAACCACCACGCCAUGCAUGGCUCGUGUUGGAGAGAUGGAUCUCCUCCCUCUCCCACCACCACCACCACCAUUAAAUUAUGAUGAUUACAGACUGAGAACACACCCACCAUUCUUCUCUCCCCUCCCUGCCCGUUUGUUAACCAAUUUGAUCGAUCUGUCGAUAGCUUCCUUUUAGAUCCGCUGCUUAAAUUUGCUUUGUUGGUGUGAGAGGUUGAAGCUGCCAGCAUGAUCUGGUCAUCGAACGCCUGUCAGAAGAUACUGUAAAUCUCUCAUAUCACAGUGUAGUAUACAGGUAGAAAUAUAGAUAGAAAGAAUAAAUAGGUACGAUACUUCUUGUUAUUUUUAUUGGAUGUGUAGGGUUGUUGAGGAAUGGAUCUCUAUAUACAUACAUGUUGUGGAGCUUCUUUGGCAUGUAAUUUUAUAGAUAAGAAGAAGAAAUAGAAAUAGAUCGAUAGAUAUAGACACUAGAUAGACCCUAAAACUAUGGAGAGCAUUCUCCAGCAUUCACAGGUAGGUAUAUGGAUGGAUGGAGAGAGAGUGAGGGAGAUGGGAAUGGAUGUUUACUGUAGGAAAGGUAGUUUCAGAUCGCAGGAAGGGUAUGGACAAAUGAGUCUGACUCGGAGUAUGUUGAAAUUAUAAGAAGGUAGGUGAAUAGGUAAAGAUACUAUACAGACAAACCUCUCCUCACCUCCCUUCUUCCCCUCUCUCUCAGGGGAUUCAGUUUGCAGAAGGGAGUAAUCCUUGUUUGCAGGAUAGACUGCAUGGGUUUUUUGUGGAUAAGAUAGAAACCAUAGGUAUGACUCUCCAUCAGAUCAUCUUGCAGCUUCACUCACUCACUCCCCAACAGAAGAUCUCAAAAUGCGUUCUCUUGAGACUGCUCACUCUCAUCAACUGCGAAAAAAUCAAAUCCAAAGAGGUUAUGCUGUUAUAUUUUGCUUUCAGUAAAUAUUCGGUUUGUCAGCCAUGGAAAUUAUUUUCCUGGUCUAGGUUCAACUGUGGUAACUAUAGUAUAUAUAGGGAGAAAGACAUGAACAGAUAAAUCUGAGGUUAGUAUUCUUAUUCAUGUCCUUGGAUUUGUUUUAUAUGUCAAGAUGUAUGUCCAUCAUGUUUGAUAUUCCGCCGACCCCAACAUUCUUUUGAGUGCUACCACUACAAAUAUCCAGUACAGACUAUGGAGAGUAGGAUCGAUACCUCCUGUCUUCACCUCCAUGUCUUCCAGAAUAAAAGGAUUGAAGGUAUGGCACAUUUCAGAAUACAGAUAAAACUUUUCAAGUGUCUUCUACACCCUACCCACAUCUAUCACCAUGGAUUUAUGUCCAUGGCAAAAAAGCGCAACAAGUACAACUGCUCAAAUCUUCCCAAGAACUAGGAUCACAAGAACUUCACAACCAAGUUUGCAUGUAAGUGCAUUUCCAUCUUGUGUUUGUUAUGUGUUAAUGUUCUAUAGAGAUCAAGGUGAUGAGCUCGCACUUCCAAUUAGAAGGCGAGCGUUGUUGUUAUGAUAUUUGGCAGCAUGAUGAGGUACGUUGAGCAUGGAAUUACUGCUAGGAUCAAGGUUCCGGGCUGCCAUGGGGGCGGCAGAGCCCUGACCAUUGCAUCGAUAAAAUCGGUGACAAGGAUAUUUUGAGACAAUGAUGUACCUCUCCAGACUUCCACAAAGAGAGAACCAAGAGAAGGGAGAUCUUCAAGUGGUACAAGAAUGUAGAUAUUUCUUUAGCAAUUCAAACGAAAAUCUGUUUAGGCCUCUUUUUCAAGUAAUGACACUACCAUAUUUAGAAAGGAGCAACUCUACAUGGACACAUUCAUUGAUAAAAUUUAGGGUAGAAAUGUCUGGUUACUGAGGACCUUGUUUCAAAAAAAAAGAGAGAGAGAGACUAAUUUUGGUGUUAAUCUGAGUGUGCAUGUAAAUUUAGUGCUCCUCACUAAAAAUAUAUAUAGGUUUUAAUGGUAUCUUUUUUUUCUUUUUUUUUUAGU